rnacentral:miRNA from 1 species
AUUAUACUUAGUUAGUUAUUGGUAUGAGCUUUUGUGUGCAUGCACACUUCUUCAGAUACACCUAUUUGAAGAAGUAUGCAUGCACACGAAAGCUAAUACUAAUAACUAACUUAGCUGG